rnacentral:tRNA from 1 species
UAGGAUUGCCCGGGGCAAAAUUAGGCUUCUAACUUAAUUUUGAGAGGUUCAACUCCUUUCUUUCCUAA